rnacentral:rRNA from 1 species
AAGGGUUCCUGUCCAACGUUAAUCGGGGCAGGGUGAGUCGACCCCUAAGGCGAGGCCGAAAGGCGUAGUCGAUGGGAAACAGGUUAAUAUUCCUGUACUUGGUGUUACUGCGAAGGGGGGACGGAGAAGGCUAUGUUAGCCGGGCGACGGUUGUCCCGGUUUAAGCAUGUAGGCUGAUUGUCCAGGCAAAUCCGGAUAAUCAAGGCUGAGGUGUGAUGACGAGGCACUACGGUGCUGAAGUAACAAAUGCCCUGCUUCCAGGAAAAGCCUCUAAGCAUCAGGUAACAUCAAAUCGUACCCCAAACCGACACAGGUGGUCAGGUAGAGAAUACCAAGGCGCUUGAGAGAACUCGGGUGAAGGAACUAGGCAAAAUGGUGCCGUAACUUCGGGAGAAGGCACGCUGGUGUGUAGGUGAAGUCCCUGCGGAUGGAGCUGAGACCAGUCGAAGAUACCAGCUGGCUGCAACUGUUUAUUAAAAACACAGCACUGUGCAAACACGAAAGUGGACGUAUACGGUGUGACGCCUGCCCGGUGCCGGAAGGUUAAUUGAUGGGGUUAUCCGUAAGGAGAAGCUCUUGAUCGAAGCCCCGGUAAACGGCGGCCGUAACUAUAACGGUCCUAAGGUAGCGAAAUUCCUUGUCGGGUAAGUUCCGACCUGCACGAAUGGCGUAAUGAUGGCCAGGCUGUCUCCACCCGAGACUCAGUGAAAUUGAACUCGCUGUGAAGAUGCAGUGUACCCGCGGCAAGACGGAAAGACCCCGUGAACCUUUACUAUAGCUUGACACUGAACAUUGAGCCUUGAUGUGUAGGAUAGGUGGGAGGCUUUGAAGCGUGGACGCCAGUCUGCGUGGAGCCAACCUUGAAAUACCACCCUUUAAUGUUUGAUGUUCUAACGUUGGCCCCUUACCGGGGUUGCGGACAGUGUCUGGUGGGUAGUUUGACUGGGGCGGUCUCCUCCCAAAGCGUAACGGAGGAGCACGAAGGUUAGCUAAUCCUGGUCGGACAUCAGGAGGUUAGUGCAAUGGCAUAAGCUAGCUUGACUGCGAGCGUGACGGCGCGAGCAGGUGCGAAAGCAGGUCAUAGUGAUCCGGUGGUUCUGAAUGGAAGGGCCAUCGCUCAACGGAUAAAAGGUACUCCGGGGAUAACAGGCUGAUACCGCCCAAGAGUUCAUAUCGACGGCGGUGUUUGGCACCUCGAUGUCGGCUCAUCACAUCCUGGGGCUGAAGUAGGUCCCAAGGGUAUGGCUGUUCGCCAUUUAAAGUGGUACGCGAGCUGGGUUUAGAACGUCGUGAGACAGUUCGGUCCCUAUCUGCCGUGGGCGCUGGAGAAUUGAGGGGGGCUGCUCCUAGUACGAGAGGACCGGAGUGGACGCAUCACUGGUGUUCGGGUUGUCAUGCCAAUGGCACUGCCCGGUAGCUAAAUGCGGAAGAGAUAAGUGCUGAAAGCAUCUAAGCACGAAACUUGCCCCGAGAUGAGUUCUCCCUGAGACUUUAAGUCUCCUGAAGGAACGUUGAAGACGACGACGUUGAUAGGCCGGGUGUGUAAGCGCAGCGAUGCGUUGAGCUAACCGGUACUAAUGAACCGUGAGGCUUAACCUUACAACGCCGAAG